UCGAAGAUUGUUUUAAUCGGAAAUCGUACUCAUGCUCUCUAAAAUAAUUCGUCCUUAUAGCAGAACUCAUUAGCCACUUGAAUUAUUUGAGUUCAUUUACUAAAUCUAAUUAUUAAGUACAUGAGUUUAUUGAGGCAAUUUAGAAAUUAAUAAUAGUAGAGCUCUUAUUCAUAUAUAUGUUCUUGCUCCUUUUACAUCCACCUUAUUGUCUUGGCAACAUAUAGCAAUGUAAACAAAGGUUUGAAAUUAGAUGCUAAUUAAAAACCUAAAAUCCUUUGCUUUAUUUAAACUAUAUAAUAUAUUACUCUCUCUGUCCCAAAAUAUAAGCAAAAAGUGGUCAACGAAAGUUGAUGAAUUUGGUUUAAAAUUUAGUCCAAAUACAUUCACUUUUGUUGACCCCUUUUUGCUUAUAUUUUGGGACAGAGGAGUACUUAAUAGGCAUAUAUUUAAUGCUAUCGUACUUUGGGCAUCAUCUUCUGGAGUACUUUGGGCAUUAACUUGGUGUCUCCUAUGGAGACUAAUAAACCGUUGGCUUCUCAACUUAUGGCGUAUAAGUUGGUUUCUCAGCUGAUGGCUUGUAGACAGACGGCUUCUCAACCGGUGGUUUGUCAACUGGUCCCCUAGAGGUAGGUGAUGAUUUCCGNNNNNNNNNNNNNNNNNNNNNNNNNNNNNNNNNNNNNNNNNNNNNNNCCUGUGAAGGCGAGUAUCCGGCCGGUAACUUCUCAGUUGGUAGUCUAUAGGGUGGAUGACCAGGGCCGGAAUACUGAGGGGGAAUUGGCCCAUACCCAUACUGUGAAAGCCCAUGAGGAAUAACAAUUAGAGCAACAAGGAGAAACACUAAGAAGCUAAAGGAAGCCAUAUCUUAGUGAUUUUAAUUUGUGAGUUUGGUGUAUAAACACAAGAGUGAUAAGCUUCUUUUAUACUAGUCUUGGUCUUUGUAAGUCCACUCAUUUACUGUGAAUUAUUUUCCACAUUGAUACAAGUGAUUUUGUUUCAUAAGAUUGUGAUGUUUCAAAUUAUAUGCCACUUGGAGUGGACAAGUCACAUCAUGGCAAAAUUGUUUCAUGAAAAUUACUUGAAUGGGUGUCAAGAGUUUGAUUAUAAGAUGUGAUCAUACUCACAUAAUUAUUUUAAAACAUAUUAUUUAAUAUUUUUUUUCUUUCUAUUUCUACUAAUUUUGUGUGGAUAGCCAAAUUUUGUGACCGAACUCUUGUAACCACAUACACUACUAGAAAUUUGCGAUUUUUCGAUGGAAAAUAAUCCGCAAGUAUUUCUAAGGAUUUUCUUGCGGAUUUUGCCACUAGGAAGUAAUUUCUUGCGGAUUUGGCAAUUUCAGGAAAAUCCACAAGUAUUCUCAAGGAUUUUCCUCCCAAUUUCGUCACUAAAGUAAUUUCCUGCAGAUCUGGAGUUUUCUGUGUUAUUGAGACCCACAAAAAUUAACGGUAUUUAAUAAAAAUUCAUAAACUGUUAAUCUUGGUGGGUUUCAAUAACAUAUCAAAUGUUUUUUUAAUUUCUUUAAAACUUUGUGUGAAUAAUCUAUAUGAUAUAAUUUGUCGGCUAAUUCAUUAGAGGUUUUGCUAAAUUCAUUUGGCAUGGUAAUGCAUAUAUAGUGGAAUUGUGGGGAGGGUUUGAAGGGCUCAAAUAUGCUAGAAGGUUUAAUUUUCAUUGUGCGGAACUACAUGUUGAUUCUAGGGCUCAAAUAGCUAGCAGUAGUGGAAGGACUUUAGUUGAUAAGAUUUGACGCUUAAUAAUAUAGCUUUAGAUUGAGAGGUUGCGGUUCACCUCGUAUUGUGAAGUAAAUCAAUGUGUAUAUGCUCAAGCCAAUAUGGGUUGUAACAUAGAGGAUGAAUGUGUUUUCUUUGAUAUAUAUCCGACUGGCAUUAACCAUGUAUUUCUAGCUAAUGUUUUGGAGAUAACUACCGCUCGUAUGGUGUUGUAAUAAUCUUUUUUUUUUCUAGGCUUAAACCCUCAUUAUUAAAAAAAAAUGUCAGCAAAUUAAUUCAUCCACCAAAAUAUAUCUCUUUAGAAAACAUCGAUCUAAAAAUCAAUUACUCUCUUAAUUGAUGCAUCAGACAACUUUUUUUUUUUUUGACAAAAUGCAUCGGACAACUUUAAAGCUUUGAAAGUUGUNNNNNNNNNNNNNNNNNNNNNNNNAAUUAAAAAAAUUAGCUAAAUUGACUGUCGUUUUUUUUUUUUGGUAGAGACUGCCGUUUUUUAAUUUAAGAGAUUAUAUAUUGUCAUUUUGCUUAUUUGAGUGAAUAUAAUUUGUCCACCUUAUAAUUGUAAAGAGCAAAAUAAUUAUUCACUCUUAAGAGGCAUAAGAGUGAAUGCUACUUUUUGCCAAAUUUUCUUAUCAAAGUUAUUUUCCCAGUUGAAACUAAGCAACCACCGAGUCAAUUAUCAGUGUGUCAUCAUGUCAAAAAAUUCCAACUAAGUUGAGGUUUUUGUAGUAAAUUCUAAAUUCAAACAUAAAUUUUUGUAAAAAAAUAAACUUAAACAUAAAUUAAUUAGUCUUAAUGUCUGCCUCUCAAGACUGAAUUUUCAUGCACCUUACUAAUAUGACAGGGAAUUAACGUACAAGAGUAUGAUGAGUAGUCAACCAAGACAAAAUCAAAAGUACUUAUAAUUCAUAAUUUGGAGUACAAAGACACCAUUUUCUUUCACUGUAUUACACUCACAUUCUUGUAUUGGCCAUAGCAAUGAAAACAAGUGAUCGAAAUAAAGAUUCCAAGAAUAUAUAAUCCUUGCUUUGAAAACUAUAUAUUUCUUAUUUAACCAUCUUUACUUAGCAUAGCAUGUUCUAAAAACGAGUAGCAUCAUCAGCUGGAGGGUACUUUGGGUGGUGAGGAGGCUCCUCGAAUGGAGGUUUGUAAAGUGGUGGUUUCUCAAAUGGAGGUUUGUAAAGUGGUGGUUUCUCGUAUGGAGGCUUGUAAAUGGGCGGAUUUUCGAACGGAGGUUUGUAAAAUGGUGGCUCCUCAAUGGNNNNNNNNNNNNNNNNNNNNNNNNNNNNNNNNNNNNNNAAAUGGAGGCUUGUAAAUUGGCGGCUUCUCGAAAGGAGGCUUGUAAAUCGGUGGAUUCUCAAUUGGGGGUUUGUACAUUGGCGGCUUCUCUACAGGUGGCUUGUAUACUGGUGGUUUUUCUACAGGUGGCUUGUAAACUGGGGGUGUCUCAACUGGUGGCUUGUAGAAUGGUGGUUUUUCUGUUGGUGGCUUGUAAACUGGUGGUUUCUCAACCGGUGGCUUAUACACUGGUGGUUUCUCUACUGGUGGCUUGUAAGUAGGUGGUUUGUAUGCAGGUGGUUGUUCAACUGGUGGCUUGUAAAUUGGUGGUUUUUCUACUGGUGGCUUGUACACUGGUGGUUUCUCUACUGGUGGUUUAUAAACAGGGGGUUGUUGAACAGGUGGCUUAUACAAAGGUGGUUUCUCAAUUGGUGGCUUGUAAAUUGGUGGCUUUUCUACUGGUGGCUUGUAUGCUGGUGGUUUCUCUACCGGUGGUUUAUAAGUCGGAGGCUUUUCAAUUGGAGGUUUGUAAAUAGGUGGUUUUUCUAUUGGUGGAUUGUAAACUGGUGGCUUCUCGAAUGGAGGCUUGUAAAUCGGUGGUUCCUCAAAUGGCGGCUUAUAAAUUGGUGGCUCUUCGAACGGAGGUUUGUAAACAGGUGGUUUCUCAUACGGAGGCUUGUAAAUUGGUGGCACCUCAAAUGGCGGCUUAUAAAUUGGUGGUUUCUCAAACGGAGGCUUGUAAAUUGGUGGCUCCUCAAAUGGAGGUUUAUGAACUGGUGGCUCCUCGAAUGGUGGCUUAUAAAUUGGUGGUGUCUCAAAUGGAGGUUUGUAAAUCGGUGGCUUCUCCAACGGUGGCUUGUAAAUUGGAGGGUUCUCAACAGGAGGCUUGUACACAGGUGGCUUCUCUACAGGUGGCUUGUACACAGGUGGAUUUUCUACAGGUGGUUUGUAAGUCGGAGGUUUCUCAAUUGGUGGUUUGUAGAUAGGUGGUUUUUCUAUUGGUGGCUUGUAAAUCGGAGGGUGCUCAACUGGUGGCUUAUAUACAGGUGGCUGAUAAAUUGGGGGUUUUUCAACUGGUGGCUUAUACACAGGUGGUUGGUAAAUUGGAGGCUUCUCAAUUGGUGGCUUGUACACUGGCGGUGUCUCUAUCGGUGGCUGAUAAACCGGAGGUUUCUCAACUGGUGGAUUAUACUCAGGAGGUUUCUCAUAGUUGGCAAGCCCUUGAGGUAUUGCAAAGAGAGCA
rnacentral:lncRNA from 1 species